UUAAAUGAAGAAGUUGUUAUAAAAACUCUAAAGUUAAGUGUGUUCACUCGAGAGUAGUACCAUGAUGGGUGACCAUCUGGGAAGCUGUGUUAAGUUUUGC
rfam:Cephalotus follicularis DNA, scaffold: scaffold2897, isolate: St1.